rnacentral:rRNA from 1 species
GACGAACGCUGGCGGCGCGCUUAACACAUGCAAGUCGAGCUAAGCGGCGGACGGGUGAGUAACACGUGAGUAACCUGCCUUAGACAUUGGGAUAGCAGCGGGAAACCGGGAUUAAUACCAAAUGGUCUAAGAUGGACUAGCGUCCCAUUAGCUAGUUGGUGUGGUAACGGCCCACCAAGGCGACGAUGGGUAGCCGGCCAGUGAGAGUGAGCGGACACAUUGGAACGGAGCAACGGUCCAAACUCUACGGGAGGCGGGAGUGGCGAAUAUUGCACAAUGGAGGGAACUAUGAUGCAGCGACGCCGGUUGAACGAAGAAGGCGUUCGAGUAGUAAAGUUCUUUUAUAUGGGAAGCGGUACCAGAAGAAAAAGCACCGGCUAACUACGUGCCAGCAGCCGCGGUAAUAC